rnacentral:rRNA from 1 species
UACGUAGGGUGCGAGCGUUGUCCGGAAUUAUUGGGCGUAAAGAGCUUGUAGGCGGUUUGUCGCGUCUGCUGUGAAAAUCCGGGGCUCAACCUCGGGCGUGCGGUGGGUACGGGCAGGCUAGAGUGUGGUAGGGGAGACUGGAACUCCUGGUGUAGCGGUGAAAUGCGCAGAUAUCAGGAAGAACACCGAUGGCGAAGGCAGGUCUCUGGGCCAUUACUGACACUGAGAAGCGAAAGCAUGGGUAGCGAACAGGAUUAGAUACCCCGGUA